AUGCUCACUUCAGCAGCACAUAUACUAAAAUCGUAAUCAUAGAGCGGAGAUUAGCAUGGCCUCUGCCUGAGGACAACACACCACUUCAUGAAACAACCCCUAUUUCU
ensembl:snRNA U6 U6 spliceosomal RNA